rnacentral:rRNA from 1 species
CCCGCUGAACUUAAGCAUAUCAAUAAGCGGAGGAAAAGAAACCAACAGGGAUUGCCCUAGUAACGGCGAGUGAAGCGGCAAAAGCUCAAAUUUGAAAUCCGUCAUUUGAUGGAGUUGUAAUUUGAAGAUAAUUUUUCUGGGAGUGGCCUUGCUCAAGUUCUCUGGAAUGAGACGUCAUGGAGGGUGAGAAUCCCGUGAUGCGAGGGUACCACUACUAUGUAGAGGAUUAUCGACGAGUCGAGUUGUUUGGGAAUGCAGCUCAAAGUGGGUGGUAAAUUCCAUCUAAAGCUAAAUAUUGGCGAGAGACCGAUAGCGAACAAGUACUGUGAAGGAAAGAUGAAAAGAACUUUGAAAAGAGAGUGAAAUAGUACGUGAAAUUGUUGAAGUGGAAGGGUUUAAAGUUAGACAUGGYAGUUUACGCUCCACAAUCCUUUGGGACUGUGUACUCGUUUUCURCCGGGCCAACAUCAGUUUCGGUGGAUGUACAAAAGCUUGGGAACGUAGCAACUUGUUGUAUUAUAGCCCUUGCUAAUGCUUCCUACUGGGACUGAGGACCGCGCAUUUGCUAGGAUGUUGGCGUAAUGAUUUUAAACCACCCGUCUUGAAACACGGACCAAGGAGUCUAUUGCCAAUGCGAGUGUUUGGGUGUCAAACCCGUACGCGUAAUGAAAGUGAACGUAGAUUGGGGCCYUUUGGGUGCACAAUCGACCGAUCCUGACGUUUUCUAAUGGAUUUGAGUARGAGCAUUGUUGAUGGGACCCGAAAGAUGGUGAACUAUGCCUGAAUAGGGUGAAGCCAGAGGAAACUCUGGUGGAAGCUCGUAGCGGUUCUGACGUGCAAAUCGAU